rnacentral:rRNA from 1 species
AGUCCGUGGAGUGAUUUGUCUGGUUUAUUCCGUUAACGGGCGAGACCGCAGCCUGCUAAAUAGUUUGAUCCAUAUUCAUAUGGAUUUGAACUUCUUAGAGGGACAACUCCGGUCAUAACCGGGGAGGAAGUUUGCGGCAAUAACAGG